AACAGAAGACGUCUGUUACGGACAAAUAGUGAACAAAGACAAGAAGUCAAACAGGAAGAGAGAGAGAGAUCCAGCUGCAGUCUCCUCAGCAGUGAGAGGAGCAGAAGACGUCAGUUAUGGACAAAUAGUGAUCAAAUCAAACAGGACCAGAGAGUCUCCAGCAGAGCCAGAGGU